rnacentral:rRNA from 1 species
AUUGAACGCUGGCGGCAUGCCUUACACAUGCAAGUCGAACGGCAGCACGGGAGCAAUCCUGGUGGCGAGUGGCGAACGGGUGAGUAAUAUAUCGGAACGUGCCCAGUCGUGGGGGAUAACGUAGCGAAAGUUACGCUAAUACCGCAUACGAUCUAAGGAUGAAAGCGGGGGACUCGCAAGAGCCUCGCGCGAUUGGAGCGGCCGAUAUCAGAUUAGGUAGUUGGUGGGGUAAAGGCUCACCAAGCCAACGAUCUGUAGCUGGUCUGAGAGGACGACCAGCCACACUGGAACUGAGACACGGUCCAGACUCCUACGGGAGGCAGCAGUGAGGAAUAUUGGACAAUGGGCGCAAGCCUGAUCCAGCCAUGCCGCGUGCAGGAUGACGGUCCUAUGGAUUGUAAACUGCUUUUAUACAGGAAGAAACAACUCCGACGUGUCGGAGCUUGACGGUACUGUAAGAAUAA